UACAGAGGUCCCAAGCGUUGUUCGGAAUUACUGGGCGUAAAGCGUGCGUAGACGGUUAUUUAAGUCGGGUGUGAAAGCCCCGGGCUCAACCUGGGAAUUGCAUUCGAGACUGAAUAGCUAGGGUACGGUAGAGGGAAGCGGAAUUUCCGGUGUAGCGGUGAAAUGCGUAGAUAUCGUGAGGAAGACCAGUGGCGAAGGCGGGUCUCUGGACAGUUCCUGACACUGAGGCACGAAGGCCAGGGGAGCAAACGGG
rnacentral:rRNA from 1 species